AUUGCUUCUCAGCCUUUUGGCUAAGAUCAAGUGUAGUAACUUUGGCUCUACAUUAAUAACCUUCUGCUGUUUUCCCUCUCAACAAAAUCAUUACUAAUCCAUUUCCAGUGAUAGUUUAUAAACCACA
ensembl:snRNA U2 U2 spliceosomal RNA